AGUGACACAAUCUUUCGAUUGACAAGAUUACAUUUUUCAUCUAACUAUGAAUUUCUAGAAUUCGUCAGUUUCCAGAAGCAAGCAUAAUUUCUUUCUGUUGACGCAAUUCGAUGUUUUACCUAAGACGUCAUUUCAUCAAACAACAAAUAAAUUAUGCAGAGACUUGAAAGUAGUAUCCCAUUAUUGCAGCCCAGAGAUCGUUGAACCGUGAUGGUUAAUGUACCCAACCAGGUGAUUCUGUAGUAUAUAACCUGCCUCCGAGAACCUGUUGACGUCAGAGCUGUAAUCAGGGGAAUCCCGACAGUUUUCCUGCUUUCUUUAACGUUCGAGGAUAAAUCCAUUGCCAUUUUCCGCCUUCCACGGUAAAUUGGCAGUUAGAUUUUUAGCGCAGUAUAAUUUGAUUUACCCACCGUGACGCAAAUUCAUCGACGCAAAUUCUAAACUUAGAACAUCAACAAAUAAAUGUAAAAUUAUUGCCACUAACAACAAACGUGAGAUUCAAUUCCAUUAUUUUAUAAUAAUUCAUGUGAAAAUCCUACGGACAUCUUAAUAAUAUUUGUCAUUGUUUACCUAGUUGCGAUUACACUGGUAUUAUGAAGUAAAAUAACGAAAAGAUAUUGUAUGUUCAAUUUAUAUUACUAUCGUAAUAAAUAGAUGAUUCAUAUAUAU